ensembl:lncRNA
UUUCUGGUAGAUAUCUGUAAGUGUGUCAGUCUAAUACAAUGAGGGACUAGAAACACAAACCACGUCAAUCAUGAAGUCAUGAAAUGGUUAAAAUAAGAGAAAUAAGCCCUGCUUUUCACAAGAUGCUUGGGCCAGAUAAACUGAGCCACUCCUGUGUGUUAUUGAGUCAUAGUAACUUCAGGAACAACAAGAUUUUUUUGUGUGUUGAAGUGCUCUGUUCAAGAAAAGAAAAAAUAAAGAAGCUGAUUUUUAAUGCAGAAGCAACAUUUUGGAAGAUAUUUGGAAGGUGAAAUUUGGAAGGGCAGAAUGUGAGUAUAUCUAAGUCCGAAAACAUCCUACAGAAAACUUCAAAAAACAGUGAAGUCCAUGGAAGUACCUUAACCGAACUGGGAUCUACGAAAGAGACAACUGUGAGAGCAGAUGAACAACCUUGAGUUUUUUGCAUUCAUCAAUGCAUCAAUGCAAGGCUCAGCUCCUGGGUGAGGGAGAAAAUGAGGAAAAAUGGUACCCGUGGUUCUUCUCUGCUUCUUAGGCACCACCAAUAUGUUUGGACUUCUUCUUCUUCUUCUUUUUUUUAACGAUACCACAGAGUUAUUACUUUUCAUGCAGAAAAUGAGUACAGAAUGAGAACUCAGAAUCACAAUGAUUGAGGCAAUCUGAUCAAUUUCCCCCUGCUCAAGCAGAGCCAUAUAGAGCAGGGUGCCUAGGAUAACAUGCAGAUCACAGCUAAUAUCUCUAUAAUGAAUAUAACGAUAAAUCAUCUCACUCUAUUGAAGGUCUGUUUCAGAAAAUAUUUGUUCAUUAAUUUUCUUAGCAAUAGAGGGCCUUCUACCUUUCUGGUCAGAUAAAAACCUCUGAGGAUGCAAGUGGAAGUGAGAACACUGCAAGUACUAAAGCAGAACAUUUUGUGGCUUCUUGGAAGUAGCUAGAUUUAUGAAAAUGCUUGCUUGCUUGCAAAUGUGUUUUAAGUGGCACUGCAAAAGCCAUGAGCAUAGGUUGGGUACCAUAUCCUCACAUUUACCAUGUGCCUCACAUGUGUUUCUGGGCUAUGCUUAGGCCUCUCACUCCUUAGGUCUGAGUUGAUGUCCUUUGCUGUCUCUCUCCUGACCUAUUGAAAAAUUAUGAUCACUGAUAGCUCUUAGAAACUUCCACCCAAUUGGCAGUGCCUCACCCUGCCUCUGACUUUGGCCCACUGCCUUUUGUUUUUGAUUAAAUAUCAUUAAAAGCUGCUAGAUAGCACUUGCAUACAUUGCUUCACACACCUAUGCAAAAACGGCAGGUUAUGCUUUGUGGCAGUUCACUUUUGAGUUGUACCUUAUUCCUGUUCAGAUAAUAAUUCUCUUUUUUUUUUCUUCCCUUUUAUUUUCCUGUGAUAUAAUCUAAAAAUGUGGCACCCUGCAAUGUUAUUGGAGAUUAAAUUCUUAAUUAUGAAUUUCCUUGCUUUUGUGAGUUUGCCUCAGAUCCUUAACAUUUUUAAUGUCAUUUUUAUGUGAAUUUCCAUGCUAUUUUAAUUCAUUAGUCAUGGGCUAUCAUUUUUCGAUGUAAUUACUGUAAUUUCAUCAAGUGACAUAAUUACAGUAAAUACUUUGAGUAAUUACUAUUCAUAUGGAAAAAGAUAUCUGGAGGUGUAAUAAUGUCAUAUAAUAAAAUAUUUAUGAUGUGUAAAGACAAAUUAUGAUGACAUAUUUACAUCACGUAAUGGCAUGACAGCACUCCAUAUUUACCUUGGGUGAGGAGAAUGACAUAAAAAUAAGUUUCAGUGACAUCAUCUUUUGGUAACGGUUACAAAGUGUUGUGCAGCAUCCAGGUACAGCAAAUUCAAUAAUUCUUGCCUUUUAAAAAUAAAUAAUCUUCC